UGACUGCAAUAUUGGAGAGGAAGGCUGUGCUGCUCUGAUUUCAGCUCUGAGAUCAAACCCCUCACACCUGACAGAACUGGAUCUGAGCUUUUAAUACACCAGGAGACUCAGGGUGAAGCUGCUCUCUGCUCUCUACUGGAGGAUCCACACUGUAAACUGGAAAAGAAACUAGAGCUGAUUAAGUGCAGUAUUGGAGAGGAAGGCUGUGCUGCUCUGAUUUCAGCUCUGAGAUCAAACCCCUCACACCUGACAGAACUGUAUCUGAGCCUUAAUAAACCAGGAGACUCAGGAGUGAAGCUGCUCUUUGCUCUACUGAAGGAUCCACACUGUAAACUGAAGAAACUAUAUAUUUGACAGUGGAAACUCCACAAGCUCCAAACAACUGAAUCAAAACAACACGUCCUGAUCAAGACUGUCACCUGGACAAAUGCUGAUAUUGUAGUGAAUUUGCUUUCAUCACCUUAGGGAGGUGAAAUAGUGCAGUGAUGGGUACAUGUCACUGUUGACGUUAUGAUGUUUGGAUCACAUGUCUCUUAAGGUGUGGUUAUGAGUACAUCACAUAAGAAAGAUUGGUGUGAAACCUAACUUGUAGAGCCUCUUUCUGUAUCAUUCACACAAGGAAGACACAAGAGUAAUAAAAUUAGUUGUAUUAAGAAAUGAUAGACAAAUGUAAUCAAUAACUACUAAAUAAAUACAUGAAUGAAAAAGCAAAAGUAAUAAAGUAAUAAAGUGCAUAAGUGAUUA